GCCAGACUCCUACGGGAGGCAGCAGUGAGGAAUAUUGGUCAAUGGGCGCGAGCCUGAACCAGCCAAGUCGCGUGAGGGAAGACGGUCCUAUGGAUUGUAAACCUCUUUUGUCAGGGAGCAAAGGGCGCCACGUGUGGCGUUUUGCGAGUACCUGAAGAAAAAGCAUCGGCUAACUCCGUGCCAGCAGCCGCGGUAAUACGGAGGAUGCGAGCGUUAUCCGGAUUUAUUGGGUUUAAAGGGUGCGUAGGCGGGCUGUAAAUACGGUGUGAAAUGCCGGGGCCACACCCCCGCCGAGCCGUUGAAACUGGCUGUCUUGAGAUGUCGAGAGGUAUGCGGAAUGCGCAGUGUAGCGGUGAAAUGCUUAGAUAUUGCGCAGAACUCCGAUUGCGAAGGCAGCAUACCGGCGGCGAUCUGACGCUGAGGCACGAAAGCGUGGGGAUCGAACAGGAUUAGAUACCCCUGUAC
rnacentral:rRNA from 1 species